UCCUGGGUGGCUCAGAGGUAAAGAAUCUGCCUGCAAUGCAGGAGACGUGGGUUUGAUCCCCGAGUCAGGAA
rnacentral:tRNA from 1 species